AAGCAACAAAGGCAAUACUCGCAGAACUAAUUUUACAUUCAGUGAGAACAUAUCUCUAAGUUUCACUUUCCUUUACAUGGAAAUCCACUUAGUGUGCACCCGCCCUGGACACUGUCUCAAUCUUCUGGUGAAACACGAGACUUGGUGUAAAUAAGCAGAUCUUCAUGACGUUAUGUUUUUCAUUUCCUGAAAGCAACCUCUAUUUUACAGUACAAGCUAUUCUUUUAACACAUUUUAGCCAUAUUACUCAAUGCGAACACAAUCAGACUAAGAUUAGACCAUUAUUUUAAAGCUAUAUUCUUAGACAAAUGACUAAAAAGGCAUUUUAGUUUAAAGCAAGAAAUAGAAGUUAAAACUAGAGAAAUGUAAUAUGACACUCAUGCUCUGGGACUGUUCGAACCACUUCCUGAUCACUGUUUACAUUUGUUUGCAACGUCUCACUGUCCUUGACCUACGGAUUAUGCAAUAAAUGUAAAUAUAAAAAGAAACCUAUCUUUGACUUUACUUGGAAAUGGAAAUCCAUUUCUUUACACCGUCUAGAACCGGAUUAGCUGCUUUCCUAUCUAUAUCCUUGUUUUAUUUUUAGAACAAAUGUAGGUGGUUUCUAGUGGUGAAGAAUAAAAGGAAGCCACUGUGUAUCUCUUCAUUUCGAAGAACUUGCUCCGGGUAUAAGUUGCAAUCUUCUUGUGCAACACAACACUUUUUUGGAAACAGGGUCUAAAUGAGAAUUGCAGAGUGAUAAUGACCAGUGAGGAGGGUGAAGAAGAAGAAGAUGAUGAUGCGGAUGAAGAUAUGUACUGAAGGUUUGCUGCCAAGGGCAAACCCAGAAGAAGAACCAAUAGAUUAGUUGCACCCGCGUCAUGGUUGAGCUGUGCAUCUUCAUGAAAAAAAGAACCACGGCAACAUUUUGCCAUUCUGUCCUUGCAGAUGAUUUUGGUUCUUUUCCAGGAUGAAAACACAGCCACUAUGAAUUUUAGAGGGGAUGUUACACGGUGUUAUGUGCCGUGUCACAACAAUACCUGCUGAUGUAAAAGUAGGCUACAUUGUAUUCAUAUCUCUGGAUGAGAUAUUCUUAUACAUUGUGCCAUAAAAAAAAAAAACUCUAGAUGGGCUUGUAUAUUCUCCAUUGAUGAAGCGAUGGAUUGGACUCCGAUGUUGACUUCACGUCACGUCCGAGAUGAAUUCUCCUGCCCUGCGCCCAGCGCUACUGAGAUUGACCCUGCAUCCACGACGCCCUUGACUAGGAUGAAGCGGAUACUGAAGUGAAUGAAUGACUGAAUUAAUUCAUUACUUUCCCAAAAGAAACUCAAAUACAUUUAACCCAAUGUACUGUAAAAUUUGUGUAGAGUCUAAGAGUGAAAUCGAUAAGAUGUAAUCUCCUUAACACGCAUUCAGAAAAAUAAAUAAACAAAAUCAGGAAAAUAGACAAGCCUAUAUUGGCCAAUUUGCUCGAAUGGCAACUCGCUUAAGAUAAGUGCAGUCCUUAUGUGCAAUUGGUUAUUUACUGGUCAUUAAUAAGCCAGUAGCUUAGACACCUUUAUGUCUAGCAUUUCCACUUAAUUGGAUGGUAGAUGGUGUCUCACUACUAAUACACAAUUACUGCUGAAUAAGGCAGACUAGAGACCGGAUUACUGUCUACUAGUGAAGUCUUCAGUAGCUAUGCAUGUGUUAACAGUUGUAGAUUUUGUACCUUAAUUACAACUCACUAACAAUAAUUGUUACUGGUUGUAAAGAGUACAACCCUACAACAACUUAUAUUAAUGAUCAAUGCAACAGAUUACACUAUACCAGUAUUGGCAAAGAGGCAAAUCCUCCGAGCCUAGUGCUGAGAAUAGCUGUUGCCAGUGGUUGUUAAGUAUUUAAGUUUGGAUGAGAUUGUUAUGGGGAAAUAUGUGACCUAUUUAUGUGUGUGUAUAUAUGUAUUUCUGAUAUAUACUGUAUGUAUUUAUAGAUUAGUCACUCCAUAAUAUCCAGUCCAGUCCAGCAGGUACCUCAUAUACUGUAAACUGUACAGUCAUUUAUGUUAAUAAUGUAAAUGAAAAACAGGAAAAUGUUUUGAUUGCGCUGAAUCAAUAUUGACCGGCAUCCUGUCCAGGGUGUACCCCGCCUUGUGCCCGAUGCUCCCUGGGAUAGGCUCCAGGUUCCCUGUGACCCUGGAAAGGAGUAAACGGUAGAAGAUGGAUGGAUGGAUGGAUGGAUGGAUGGAUUAAUUAAUAUUGAUUAUGUACAAUGACAAAACAUUCAAGCUAACAAUCUAUUGGUAUUUUUAUGCAUUUGACUUGGUUGUGUUACUUGGGGCCAUCACAUGAUUGACUCGUGAUAAUUGCGGGAAGGGUGCACUUUCGAUCUAAAAUAUAAAGUAUAUGCUCAUGAGCAUCUUCAUACCAUUCAUGUAAUCUAAGGAAAUCACAAACAUACAAAUUCUAACACCAGUUCCUUUAUUUAUGUGCAUGUCUGAAACGAGGUCUGCUGAUUCGAAUGUCAAUCUGAGUUACACAUAAAACUCCCGAAUUAUUUUGAACAUUUUCCUUGAAUGAAUUCAUGUGUUAAAUAAAUGAAUUAUUGUUCAGGAAUAAACAUUACGUUAACCCAUUUGUGUGCUUUGCUGUCCUCAUGCUGUUUAAUAUCACAUCAUAGAGCUAGUGUUGGUUUAGUAUGGGGGAAACAUUGGGAAUGGCCUCAUGAUUCCUACACAUGAGUCCUACACAGUAUUAAAAAGGCCCUAUUUUAGUAUUUCACUAUACGUAAACAUGUUUUAUUAAUGGGUGUAAUAGGUCAAAGCAAUAAUGGCAAUACUCGCAGAACUAAUUUUACAUUCAGUGAGAACAUAUCUCUAAGUUUCACUUUCCUUUACAUGGAAAUGCACUUGAGCACAUUUGAAAAGGUUGGGCAGUAAGAUAAUGUGGGGGUGGUUCCAGUGCUAGAGAGGAAAAGGAAAAGACUGUGUGUCUCUCUUCAUUUUGGAGGACCUGCCCUGGACGUUAUCUACAGUGUUCUGGUGAAACACGAGACUUGGUGUAAAUAAGCAGAUCUUCAUAACGAUAAUGGCAGUCGAGGAGGUGGAUGACGAAACCGACGACGAUGAUAACGAUGACAGACUAUAAGGAAGUUGGCUGGAGGUCUGCUGCCAAGGGUGGACCACAGGAGCUGAACCAAUAGAAGAACAGCGUACGUGUGCGAGAGCGACGUGUCGCUUGGUUGAGCUGUGCGUCCAUGUGAAACCUCGUUGGUGAAUUUCACAACGUAUGCACGUUACCCGUGAACUACUUUGCUUGGUGAAGAGCUUUAUUGCAUAUAGAAAUCUAUGGUAUGUUUACCACUACUACGUCUUUGAAUGAUCUUUUUCUUGUUGUUGUUGUUGUGUUGUGUGAUGUCACUAUGGAGUAAUACUAUAUACAUAAAUAUGUCUCACUGUAUUUCUGAAAAGUCAUGAUCACGUUCCUGAAGCCUAGACAAUGAAACAGAAUUAUUUCCGAGAUACAAGUACUUAUUUAUGACAAGUCAAGUGAAUACAGAACAUGAUGUAUAUGUGUAUCAUCACUGUAUAUGUGUAUUAUUCCUGCAUACAUAUUGUUUUUCCAUAUUUUACUUGGUUGUGUGACUGGGGCCAUGCCAGGCUGGUUGGUCUGAUUGGUGGAAGUGUGCACUUUAAAUCAGGAAGGAACCAUCACGUUCUUGAUGCGUAACCUUUCACUAAAUCUUCAUACACUCUACGAAACUCUCACAGCACAGAAGGGGAAUAAAUCCCUUCCUGUUUUAAAGUGCAUGCUUGGAAUGUAGUCUGUUGUUUUGAAUGCCAGUCUGGGUGGAGUCACACAGAAACACCCCACAUUCUUUCCAUUGUUUUUUUUUUUUUUUAUUUCCUUUAAUCUGACCCCUUCAUUUAGAUUUGAACAGAACGGACGUGGAGGGUUACUGAAUAAACCGCAGCUUUCCUUGAAACUCUUCGUGUGGCGUGCUUCCCUUAAAACAAACCAUCCUGGCUUCACUGAUGACAAUAAACAUAAUAAAAUGACCCGAUGAAGAUAUCGAUAGUUUAGGUCGAAGUAAACGUUCAAAAAGCACCAAAGUCUACCUGGUUUCAUUUGAUAAGAUGUCUAUAAUAUGUCACAUUUAUCGACAAGAAUCAGUAACAAAAGUUUCAGUUGACUAAAAGUACAUAACAAUACUGUGGGGUCCUGGGAUAAAGAAUUUAAUGGACACGUGACAGAGGACGAUGAACCUGAAAGUAGGAAAGCUAAAAAGUUUGGAACGCAAAAUGUACUCAUGAUCCAAAGCAGACCACCACUACCUUUGAAAGACUGUGGUGUGAGUAUGUAGAACUGUUUAAAAAAAAAAAUUAAAAUUAAUAAUUUGCCUGGGAAUAAUGAGCCAAAACAACAUUACUUACUAACUAAAUUACAACGAAUGGGAAACUAAUCCAACCUGUUCAGGUGUAGAGAAUGGCAUUUCCACAUAAACAAAAGCAAAAGUAAGUAAAUGGUAAAUGGCACACUUAUAUAGCGCUUUUAUCCAAAGUGCUUUACACCCUCAUUCACCCAUUCACACACACACUCACACACCAGUGGUAGCAGAGCUUCCACGAAAGGCGCUAACUUGCCAUCGGGAGCAACUCGGGGUUCAGUGUCUUGCCCAAGGACACUUCGGCAUGUGGAGUCAUGAGGGACGGGAAUCGAAACGCCAACCCUACGAUUAGUGGACAACCCGCUCUACCACCUGAUCCACAGCCGCCCACAUUUGACUCGGUUGUGUGAUGGAGCCAUCAGAGACAUGCUGGUCUGGUUGUGAUGAUGAUGGGAAGUGUGCACUUUAAAACAGGAAGGAGUUUGCAUUACUAGUAUGUUCCAUUUUCUCAGGUUUUAUUGUCAUCUUUAGCCAUUUAUGGAGUCUUCGUCCCCCCCCACAGUUUCCAGACACAGUAGUGUUUGAAACACAACUGCUUUAAAGUGUAUGCUUACAGUGUGGCUUGAAUAUUUGAAUGACAGUCUUGAUGGAAGUCACGUGUGAAAAUCCCAUUCAAUCUUUCAUUUUUCCUUUCGUUUCUAGAAAUUUCUACACAGCCUGACACCACGAUAAAGUCCAGCAUGGCUGCUACAUCUUCUUUCAUCAGACCUAUGGAUCUCUCCAUCUCCUUCGGAGUUAACCUUGGCCUACUGGAUGCUUGUCAGACUGAUGCCUUCAUUAGUGCAUACUUUUGGUGGAUGGCCUCGAAGACCUGAAGCAAUGGUGUGUUCUGAGAGCACUGAUAUACAGAUCCACUCAGAGCCUCAGUGCAUGAAGUUAGAACUCUGUUCAUCGGUUCCUGAGGGGAGACAUCAGGAGGAAGCGCGUGUGGAGAACCGAUAGCCAGCAGUUUCAGCAGCAGUAAAAUGGCCAUGCUUGUGCUCGUCUCGACAGAAUCUGCAUCAGUCCCGUCACUUUCACUCUCAUCACAGAGACUGUCCGUGUCCGGUCGACAAAACAGGCUCGACUCCAAAUCGUCAUCUUCUAUUGCCUUCAGAAAGGACUGAGCGAAGGCGUGAUGUACCCGCUCAGCUCCAGCAGUAAAGGCCUUCACGAGGUCAAACAGCGUCCGCGAUUUUUGACAGCAUAGAUUCAUAGAUCCCGUCUAUGUCUACACGGUGGAGCUGCUUGGGGAUGUUCUCACCGUCAGCUAGACAAACUUUAGGCAUCCUGGAUAAAAUCUGCAGCACGGAUUCUGCCAGUUGCCCCACCUGUUUGCACUUAGCUACUAACAUCAGUGUUCCGGCAGGAUUCGAGCUGGAUUCUUCCCAACUCAUCUUCCUGGCUUGCGCUUGAUAAAGCCGAAUUCAUGUCUUCAGCUUCACUCCAUUGUGUGGCCACUUAACCCACUUUCAACCUGCAGACAAACAUACUGUAUAUACAACUUACCUGGUCAUAACCAUGUCUACUACUUACUAUUAUUAUUAUUGUUAUUAUUUACAUAUGCGAUAACUUUAGAGACAAAUCCACAGCAUGUUUUGAAGUUAUUCAUUAUUUAGAUCGAUUUGUCAUUUAUUUACCCUAACAUUCCUCUGAACUGUAUUGGAGACACUCAUCACAGCUUGGCCGACAUUGACAGCAGAACUGCCGUUCCUGGCAGAUAAAUCAUCAUCUAUAAAGAUGACAAAUCAUCAUCUAUCAUCAUAUAAAGUCAAAUUUAUAUUUUAAUGAUAAGAAAUGCACAAAUCUCAUAACCAGUGUUUGAGAGUUUGACUGUGUUUGUAUCAGAAAUGGUCUUAACCAAUCAAACGGUCCAUUUCCUUCGUAUUUUCUGGCAGAGUGAAGGAAAAAAAAAUAUUACAGUUCUACCAUCUUAAAGAUGACGUUUAACUUGUUUUAACACAGCUAUGCUAACAUCUUUAAACUUUAGCGGUGAUUGUGUCCAUGAAGUAUAUUUUGAUGAGCUUAAUCAGUAGACACUCC
ensembl:lncRNA